GGGGGCACGAACCGGAUUAGAUACCCGGGUAGUCCCAGCCGUAAACGAUGCUCGCUAGGUGUCAGGCAUGGCGCGACCGUGUCUGGUGCCGCAGGGAAGCCGUGAAGCGAGCCACCUGGGAAGUACGGCCGCAAGGCUGAAACUUAAAGGAAUUGGCGGGGGAGCACAACAACGGGUGGAGCCUGCGGUUUAAUUGGACGCAACGCCGGACAACUCACCGGGGGCGACAGCAAUAUGUAGGCCAAGCUGAAGACUUUGCCUGAAUCGCUGAGAGGAGGUGCAUGGCCGUCGCCAGUUCGUACUGUGAAGCAUCCUGUUAAGUCAGGCAACGAGCGAGACCCGUGCCCACUGUUACCAGCAUGUCCUCCGGGACGAUGGGUACUCUGUGGGGACCGCCGGUGUUAAAUCGGAGGAAGGUGCGGGCCACGGU
rnacentral:rRNA from 1 species